rnacentral:rRNA from 1 species
GACGAACGCUGGCGGCGUGCUUAACACAUGCAAGUCGAACGGAAAGGCCCUGCUUUUGUGGGGUUCUCGAUUGGCGAACGGGUGAGUAACACGUGAGUAACCUGCCCUUGACUUUGGGAUAACUUCAGGAAACUGGGGCUAAUACCGGAUAGGAGCUCCUGCUGCAUGUUGGGGGUUGGAAAGUUUCGGCGGUUGGGGAUGGACUCGCGGCUUAUCAGCUUGUUGGUGGGGUAGUGGCUUACCAAGGCUUUGACGGGUAGCCGGCCUGAGAGGGUGACCGGCCACCUGGGGACUGAGAUACGGACCAGACUGCUACGGGAGGCAGCAGUGGGGAAUAUUGCACAAUGGGCGGAAGCCUGAUGCAGCAACGCCGCGUGCGGGAUGACGGCCUUCGGGUUGUAAACCGCUUUCGCCUGUGACGAAGCGUGAGUGACGGUAAUGGGUAAAGAAGCACCGGCUAACUACGUG